CAGAGUCAGGCACUCCUUUCAUUUCCCGUCCAUUAACCCGAACUCAAGACUGUUGAAGACAUGAGGGCUUCAAAGAUGCUGAAAAAACUUCCUAUCUUUUUCAUUCCCCACUUCAAUGCGCCAAUCAAUGCGCUACGCUGGCAAAAGGGCUGUCAGAAAGAGUCCAAUCCCGAGGAGAGUUCAUGCGUGAAGUUUCUUUGUUGAAUGAAGGUGAGUUCAAGGGCUUCUUUGAUCGGGAAAUGCACGCACUUCUUUGGUUGUCGUUAAGGUCCCUUCCACCUGAGUUCAAGAUGUCCCUUUCCGCUUCUCUUUCAGCUACUUCCCUCAUUGGGAUUGGUCAAGCUCCUUCACUUAUUGCUCGAUCCGAUCCGGAACUGAUAGCACCUUUUCUUCCUAUUAGUAGGUCUUAUUGCCCUCCUCUUCUGGUAGUCUAGUUCUAGUUUUGUUUUGAGCUGGUGAACCCAUGUUCUUCCUCUUCCCCCCG
rnacentral:lncRNA from 1 species